rnacentral:tRNA from 1 species
GGGCGGGUGGCGAAAUGGUAGCCGCGACGGACUUAAAAUCCGUUGUCCAAAAGACGUGAGGGUUCGAAUCCCUCUCCGCCCACCA